GAUGAACGCUAGCGACAGGCUUAACACAUGCAAGUCGAACGAGAAUCAACGGAUUGAGGAUUCGUCCAAAUGAAGUUGAGGAAAGUGGCGGACGGGUGAGUAACGCGUGAGGAACCUGCCUCGGAGUGGGGAAUAACAGUUGGAAACAGCUGCUAAUACCGCAUAAUGCAACGGAAUCGCAUGACUCUGUUGCCAAAGAUUUAUCGCUUUGAGAUGGCCUCGCGUCCGAUUAGCUAGUUGGUGAGGUAACGGCCCACCAAGGCGACGAUCGGUAGCCGGACUGAGAGGUUGAUCGGCCACACUGGGACUGAGACACGGCCCAG
rnacentral:rRNA from 1 species